UUUCAGAAAACAGAAAGGAAGUCCCCUAUUGAAUUGAAUAACGACUCUGUAAAAAGAUGUGAACACAAGAGAUGUUUAAAGCUCAACUGGAAGAAGGAAGUAGUAAGGCUGAGUUAGAAAACAACAGCAGCCUUAGCCUUGGCCAACAGUGGGGGUUCCUGAUCUCAAGCCCUAAACUGCUUGAUGACAGAAACGCUCUGGCGAGAAAGGUUGCUUUUCUCCUCUGUGUUCUGCAGCUCACCCUGUGCUUCGUCAUCUGACCUUGGGGAAGUCAUUUCACCUUCUCUGAGCCUCGGUUUUCCUGGAAAGCAAAGAGGUUGGGUUUGGUUAGAUAACUUUCUAGAUCCCUCCAGCUUUAACACCUAAGAAGUUCUCUGGAGUUCUCAACACAUCAUUUCCAUGACUCUGAAAGUCACAGAUUCUAUAUAUGAAAAAGCAAAAUGGCCUUAGAGUAGAGGAGGGAUGUGAAAUUUUUAAAUUAGAAUGGAAAGAAAUUGAAAUGACAGCAGGACAAAUACAUCUUUCGCACCUGAACUAGAAAAUAGGUGGCAGAUGACAAAUGAAUAGGUUUUGGACUACUCGCUGACUGUAAACUUUCCUGCACUUUUAUGUGAAGCUAACAGUUCACUUUAAAUAUAUACAAUGAGUUCUGACAGAGGAGAGCAAGCAGCUCAAAUAAUGAAGGUCAGCCACUAAUGCCCAAGUCCCACUGCUUUAGAGUGUGCUCAGAGACAACAUGAGGCAUGAAGAGGAACAAACACAUUUGUCCCAACCAUGACCCUGCCAGUAGCAGCCUGGGCCAGUAGUGGACAUGACUGGAACCCAAAGGUCAAAUAGAAUCAGAGGAAAGGACACAUGGUUUGAGGAGAUCUCAGCAUGACCUUGAUGGAAUAAACAGUUCAAACUUCAAAGCCUGAAGUGCCGAGAUCAUGGAUUCCUUUGGAACCAUUACAGCUUUGAGAUGCUUCGGGGUAAAGGACUGUGUACUAUAGAAAGGAGGAAAUGGAAGAGCAAAAGUGCAAACAGAAGGAUGAAGCAAUCUGGAGAUUAGUGACAACCAGAAGCUCAAGGGACGUAAGGAAGAAGUGGAUCCAUGGAACUCAGGAGCUAGAACCAUCCACAUGGAAUUUCAUCAAUGCUGGAAACGAGAUUUAGAAGGUGCCUGGGCAGGAGAGUCACUUCGGAGCAGACAUCACUGGUCGGGAAAGCAGGACUAGGUGAGAUACUACAAUAAGCACACAAAAACUGACAAAGAUUUCCACGGAAAGAGAAGAACAAAGGAGAAGGUGGAAGGGAGUGAAGCCAAGCAAGGCUACUUUCCCUGGGAGCAGCCUUGACUACCUCAACCUAUAGCUGACUGUGUCUUUAAUAAAAGAAUACUCACCUAGUGUUUUCUGUGUGCCAGACAUUGAUCUAAGUGCUCUAUGUCAUUAAAGGAUCUUUAAUGGGGUGACCACCAUUAUUAGGUGCUG